rnacentral:rRNA from 1 species
UACGUAGGUGGCAAGCGUUGUUCGGAAUUAUUGGGCGUAAAGAGCUUGUAGGCGGUUUGUCGCGUCUGCUGUGAAAAUCCGGGGCUCAACCCCGGACUUGCAGUGGGUACGGGCAGACUGGAGUGUGGUAGGGGAGACUGGAAUUCCUGGUGUAGCGGUGGAAUGCGCAGAUAUCAGGAGGAACACCGAUGGCGAAGGCAGGUCUCUGGGCCACUACUGACGCUGAGAAGCGAAAGCAUGGGGAGCGAACAGG